UACGUAGGUGGCAAGCGUUGUCCGGAUUUAUUGGGUUUAAAGGGUGCGUAGGCGGUUUUUUAAGUCAGUGGUGAAAUACGGCAGCUCAACUGUCGAGGUGCCAUUGAUACUGGGAAACUUGAGUACUGAUGAGGUAGGCGGAAUGGACGGUGUAGCGGUGAAAUGCUUAGAGAUGACAUAGAAUACCUAUUGCGAAGGCAGCUUACUACGCAGAUAUUGACGCUCAUGCACGAAA
rnacentral:rRNA from 1 species